CACAAGUCACACCUCUUAAUUAAGGCAGUUAGUAACCUCCUCACGUCUCUUCUUAACCUAACGUAUGUUCAUUCAUCCUUUAUUUAUCUCCGUUCCAUUCUAUCUGUCCAUUUACUAUAUCAAUCCUCUUCUUCUUCUUAAUCUCUUUGUUUGUCUGAUUAAUCCUGACUGUUUAACGCGGCUAAAGCUCCAUGGAACUCGCUUGAUAAUCUCCCUUAGAAUGAUGCCAGAAGAUACUACUCUCCGGGUACAAUACGAAGAUGCGCCGAGGAAAUUUGACCCCCGUCUAGAUGUGAACUCCGCUGAAGUUAUCCUUAUUGUGCUCGAUUAAGAACACCCACGUAAAUCUCCUUUUUUUUAAGAGCACCUUUCUCUUUUGCUCUUCUUGCUCCCACUCGCUAGAGUCUCCAGGGUUGUUGAAAAUUAAAGAGGUUAGAUACGACCACACUUAUUGUUCUCUUCACCUCCAUGUUUUCCUUUUGUUUUUUCUGCAUUGCUUUCUUUCAUAUGCUAUGGAUAUUUUGCUUUACUAACCAAUUUAUAUAAUGCUUUCUUAAUUGAAACAGGAUUUCAUACUUGUAUCUAUUUUGGCAGCUAAAAGAAAAAUGAGUUCCAUCUCAAUGCUUGGUUUCCAUCACUUGUUGCUCCGGAACGGACUUCAAAACGGAUCACAUUUUCUCCAACUUAUUUGGGCACUAGACUCAUGAAGAUCUCCUGGAUAUGAAAUUAGGUGUAUCCAUUUUAAUAUAAGUAUUGAUUCUUAUCAUGAAGAAAUAAUUUAUUGUUGAGAAAUUAUAUCCUUCGUCACACUCAAAUAUAUGAAUUCUUAUAGACUGAAGUGGGGGAGGGAUUUUUAAUAACUGCCCUCAUAUGUCGGAAGUAAUGUGAAAUUGAAUAAUGAAGUUCUUAAUUAUUGAAGUUACGUUGUUGAUCCUUC